GAGAGGAGUUUUUGUAAUUAUGUGAGAUAGUGGAUUAUGAAGUGGAUGUUGGAUCCACUAACGAAAGUAGUUUAAAAAUUUAUAGUGAAAGGACUAAAUUAAGCAGUUUUUAAAUCCUGAGACCAACUCAAUUAAAUCGAUAUAGUGAAGUGACUAUUUUGUUAAUUUACUCCUUAUUUCUUGAGUCAUAGACUUCUUUACUCGUAAAAAUGUUAUAUAUCUUUAUGAUUAUUAGGUGCAUUUGAGCCUUGUUUAUUAUCUUUUACUCAUUAACGCUAGCUGCUCCAUUAGCACUAACAGCAUCUACAUCAGUAAAUAUUGUGUGGUUUAUGUCAUCAAUCUAUACACUUGAAGAAGCAAAA